UAUCUUUAGGGUAUGCCGCUA
rnacentral:snRNA from 1 species